UACAGGGGGUGCAAACGUUGCUCGGAAUCAUUGGGCGUAAAGCGCACGUAGGCGGUUCGUUAUGUCGGAUGUGAAAGCCCUUGGCCUUAACCGAGGAAGUGCAUCCGAAACUGGCGAGCUAGAGUACUAAAGAGGAUCGCGGAAUUCCCGGUGUAGAGGUGAAAUUCGUAGAUAUCGGGAGGAACACCGGUGGCGAAGGCGGCGAUCUGGGUAGAUACUGACGCUGAGGUGCGAAAGCGUGGGGAGCAACAGG
rnacentral:rRNA from 1 species